rnacentral:misc_RNA from 1 species
CAGAGUUUACAACUCCCAAACCCAAAUGUGAACAUACCAAUCGUUGCUUCGGCGGACUCGUCCCGGCGUCCGGGUGGCCUUGCGCUGCCCGCGGCCCGGAUCCAGGCGACCGCCGGAGGCCAUCAAACUCUUUGUAUUACCAGUAUCUUCUGAAUCCGCCGCAAGGCAAAACAAAUGAAUCA